rnacentral:rRNA from 1 species
AUGUAAGGUCAAGUUAUUAAGGGUAUAAGGUGGAUGCCUUGGGUCCAAAAGCCGAAGAAGGGCGUGGCAAGACUGCGAUAUGCCU